rnacentral:lncRNA from 1 species
CCUCAAUCCCAAGAAAAAAAAAUGUGAAAACCCAAAUAAUAAUAAUAAUAAUAUAAUAAAAUAAAAACAAAAUCUUCUAGUAAGCAUUUGUUGCAACUUCAGAGGAUUUUACUCUUUCAUAUGGAUUUAUUGAUAUAUUUUCCUUGUGGGUAGCUUCAACUUUAUCUUCAUCAAUGCCAGAAACUAUAACGGGCAUGAAAGAUUUGCACCUAUUAUCAUUUGUUCAACUUGGCGAUGAAGGUGCCAAGCUUGUUACAUCCGAGUUAGAUUUUGCGUGCAUCAUAUUUACUGUAGGUGUGUGAAUAAAUGUGUUAUCUUCGGAGAUUUUGGCGAAAGAUGCUGAAUUUGAUUGGACCCAGUUGGAAAUUCUGAAGCUUUGUUGGAUUUUAAUCUGGGUGUGAUGGAUUGCUUGAGUUUUAAGGAAAUGGGUCAUGGUAAAACAAUAACAGAGAGAAAUGCCAGAAUUAGAAAGAAGGCAAAGAGCAAACUGAGCAAAUGGAACAGAAAGCUUGUGCCUUUGGGUUCAGAAACUGAGGAGAAAUCUGAUGGAACUGGAUUGGACCCAGUUGGAAAUUUUGAAGCUUUAUUGAAAUUUUAAUUUGGGUUUGGUUGGGAAGAGAGAGAAUAGGUGUUUUUUUUUUUUCCUUAAGCAAGUCAUUUUGCAAAUGAGUAAAUUUAUUUUUAAAAUAGAAUAGACGUGUGGAAAUUGCACCACUCAAAUAAUAUUGGUG